rnacentral:rRNA from 1 species
GACGAACGCUGGCGGCGUGCCUAAUACAUGCAAGUAGAACGCUUAAGGAGGAGCUUGCUUCUCUGGAUGAGUUGCGCACGGGUGAGUAACGCGUAGGUAACCUGCCUGGUAGCGGGGGAUAACUAUUGGAAACGAUAGCUAAUACCGCAUAAUAGUAGAUGUUGCAUGACAUUUGCUUAAAAUGUGCAAUUGCAUCACUACCAGAUGGACCUGCGUUGUAUUAGCUAGUUGGUGAGGUAACGGCGCACCAAGGCAACGAUACAUAGCCGACCUGGGAGGGGGAACGACCAACCUUGGACCGAGACACGGCCCAGACCUCUACGGGAGGGAGCCGGAGGGGAACAUCGGACAUGGACGGAAGGCUGACCGAGGAACGCCGCGGGAGGGGAGAAAGGUGUCGGAUCGUAAAGGUCUGUUGUGAGAGAAGAAAGAGCGUGAGAGUGGAAAGUUCACACUGUGACGGUAUCUUAACAGAAAGGGACGGCUAACUACGUG